rnacentral:rRNA from 1 species
GACGAACGCUGGCGGCGUGCUUAACACAUGCAAGUCGAACGGAAAGGCCCUGCUUUUGUGGGGUGCUCGAGUGGCGAACGGGUGAGUAACACGUGAGUAACCUGCCCUUGACUUUGGGAUAACUUCAGGAAACUGGGGCUAAUACCGGAUAGGAGCUCCUGCUGCAUGGUGGGGGUUGGAAAGUUUCGGCGGUUGGGGAUGGACUCGCGGCUUAUCAGCUUGUUGGUGGGGUAGUGGCUUACCAAGGCUUUGACGGGUAGCCGGCCUGAGAGGGUGACCGGCCACAUUGGGACUGAGAUAAGGCCCAGACUCCUACGGGAGGCAGCAGUGGGGAAUAUUGCACAAUGGGCGGAAGCCUGAUGCAGCAACGCCGCGUGCGGGAUGACGGCCUUCGGGUUGUAAACCGCUUUCACCUGUGACGAAGCGUGAGUGACGGUAAUGGGUAAAGAAGCACCGGCUAACUACGUG